rnacentral:snRNA from 1 species
ACACUUACCUGGCAGCGGAGAUACCAUGAUCAUGAAGGUGGUUUUCCCAGGGCGAGACUUAUCCAUUGUAUUCCAGAUAUGCUGACCCCUGAGAUUUCCUCAAAUGUGGGAAACUUGGGAGAAAAAAA